rnacentral:rRNA from 1 species
GCAAGUCGAGCGCGCCCUUCGGGGUGAGCGGCGGACGGGUGAGUAACGCGUGGGAACAUACCCUUCACUAAGGAAUAGCCAUUGGAAACGAUGAGUAAUACCUUAUACGCCCUUCGGGGGAAAGAUUUAUCGGUGAAGGAUUGGCCCGCGUAAGAUUAGAUAGUUGGUGGGGUAAUGGCCUACCAAGUCUACGAUCUAUAGCUGGUUUGAGAGGAUGAUC